GAUGAACGCUGGCGGCGUGCCUAAUACAUGCAAGUCGAGCGAACAGAUGAGGAGCUUGCUCCUCUGACGUUAGCGGCGGACGGGUGAGUAACACGUGGAUAACCUACCUAUAAGACUGGGAUAACUUCGGGAAACCGGAGCUAAUACCGGAUAAUAUAUUGAACCGCAUGGUUCAAUAGUGAAAGACGGUUUUGCUGUCACUUAUAGAUGGAUCCGCGCCGCAUUAGCUAGUUGGUAAGGUAACGGCUUACCAAGGCAACGAUGCGUAGCCGACCUGAGAGGGUGAUCGGACACACUGGAACUGAGCCACGGUCCAGACUCCUACGGGAGGCAGCAGUAGGGAAUCUUCCGCAAAGGGAGAAAGCCUGACGGAGCAACGCCGCGUGAGUGAUGAAGGUCUUCGGAUCGUAAAACUCUGUUAUUAGGGAAGAACAAAUGUGUAAGUAACUAUGCACGUCUUGACGGUACCUAAUCAGAAAGCCACGGCUAACUACGUG
rnacentral:rRNA from 1 species